UGGGGAAUUUUACACAAUGGGGGAAACCCUGAUGUAGCGACACCGCGUGAGCGAAGAAGCCCUUUGGGGUGUAAAGCUCUGUCAGCAGGGACGAAAUCAAUGACGGUACCUGCAGAGGAAGCAUCGGCUAACUACGUGCCAGCAGCCGCGGUAAGACGUAGGAUGCAAGCGUUGUCCGGAUUUAUUGGGCGUAAAGAGUUCGUAGGUGGUUUGUUAAGUCUGAUGUUAAAGAUCGGGGCUCAACCCUGGGAGUGCAUUGGAUACUGGCAGACUCGAGUAUGGUAGAGGCGAGUGGAAUUCCCAGUGUAGCGGUGAAAUGCGUAGAUAUUGGGAAGAACACCGGUGGCGCAAGCGACUCGCUGGGCCAUUACUGACACUGAGGAACGAAAGCUAGGGUAGCGAAUGG
rnacentral:rRNA from 1 species